GACGGAGGAUGCAAGUGUUAUCCGGAAUCACUGGGCGUAAAGCGUCUGUAGGUGGUCAAAUAAGUCAACUGUUAAAUCUUGAGGCUCAACCUCAAAAUCGCAGUCGAAACUAUUAGACUAGAGUAUAGUAGGGGUAAAGGGAAUUUCCAGUGGAGCGGUGAGAUGCGUAGAUAUUGGAAAGAACACCGAUGGCGAAGGCACUUUACUGGGCUAUUACUAACACUCAGAGACGAAAGCUAGGGUAGCAAAUGGG
rnacentral:rRNA from 1 species